rnacentral:rRNA from 1 species
GCAUGCCUACAACAUAGAUUUAAUGCACUAGAUCCCAUUAUAACUUUGCAAUUAAGCACGCUCACGCUAGAGUAGUAUUGGGAUGGAUGAUCGCCCGAGAAGUCCUCUUGUUUUACAAGCC